GGAUUUUANUGGGGUUUAAAAGGGGGGNGCAGGCCCGAUUGGUUAAGCGNGAACGUGAAAUGNUAGCNGNUCAACGGCUGAAACUGGCUUCGCGAACUGGCUAUUCUUGAGUGAGUUCGAUGUUGGCGGAAUUCGUGGUGUAGCGGUGAAAUGCUUAGAUAUCACGAAGAACUCCGAUUGCGAAGGCAGCCAACAAGGCCUUUACUGACGNUAAAGCUCGAAGGUGCGGGUAUCGAACAGGAUUAGAUACCCCUGGUAGUCCGCNCGGUAAACGAUGGAUGCCCGCUGUUCGCGAUAUAUUGUGAGCGGCCAAGAGAAAUCGUUAAGCAUCCCACNUGGGGAGUACGCCGGCAACGGUGA
rnacentral:rRNA from 1 species